rnacentral:rRNA from 1 species
GGACGGGUGAGUAAUGCCUAGGAAAUUGCCCUGAUGUGGGGGAUAACCAUUGGAAACGAUGGCUAAUACCGCAUGAUGCCUACGGGCCAAAGAGGGGGACCUUCGGGCCUCUCGCGUCAGGAUAUGCCUAGGUGGGAUUAGCUAGUUGGUGAGGUAAGGGCUCACCAAGGCGACGAUCCCUAGCUGGUCUGAGAGGAUGAUCAGCCACACUGGAACUGAGACACGGUCCAGACUCCUACGGGAGGCAGCAGUGGGGAAUAUUGCACAAUGGGCGCAAGCCUGAUGCAGCCAUGCCGCGUGUGUGAAGAAGGCCUUCGGGUUGUAAA